CUGACAAUAGGGCUUGGGGCCUGCUACGGGUCCAGGUCAUGUGUUCAUUUGGAUUUCAUAUUUUGUAAUAUUGUCAAAGCUCAUAUAAAAGGGGAUUUCAUCUACAACUUCCUUGUUCUUUUUCUUUUCAGCGCCUGCGACCCGGACCUGGAUAAAGUGGAAGAAAAUGGAUGGAGGACGAGGAAAUGCAAUCGUCUAUAAAUGAAAGACAACAGCGAUGGAGAUCCUCUGAGAAGGAGGAGGCCUGUCUGAUGGAGCCGUUCAUCCAUCAGUGGUUGUUUUCCAUCAGACCCAGUAGAUCCAGAGAUGUGUGUGUAGACGACA